rnacentral:rRNA from 1 species
AUUGAACGCUGGCGGCAUGCCUUACACAUGCAAGUCGAACGGCAGCGGGCCCUUCGGGGUGCCGGCGAGUGGCGAACGGGUGAGUAAUGCAUCGGAACGUACCCGGGAGAGGGGGAUAACCGGCCGAAAGGCUGGCUAAUACCGCAUGAACUCGGAAGAGCAAAGCGGGGGACCUUCGGGCCUCGCGCUCUCGGAGCGGCCGAUGUCCGAUUAGGCUAGUUGGUGGGGUAAAGGCCCACCAAGGCGACGAUCGGUAGCGGGUCUGAGAGGACGAUCCGCCACACUGGGACUGAGACACGGCCCAGACUCCUACGGGAGGCAGCAGUGGGGAAUCUUGGACAAUGGGCGCAAGCCUGAUCCAGCAAUACCGCGUGGGUGAAGAAGGCCUUCGGGUUGUAAAGCCCUUUCGGCGGGGAAGAAAUCGGUCAGGCGAAUAGUCUGGCCGGAUGACGGUACCCGCAGAAGAAGCACCGGCUAACUACGUGC